CGGAGAAUUGUCUGUACUGUAACUGUGUUACUCAGUGUUAGAUUAAUAAAUCCUCAAAGAAAGUAAAGCGGACUUUUAUUCACCAACCCCGGGACGAAGGGAAUUAACCCCAAAGUUUACUUAGCCGACAGUACUUUGGCCCUGGAGCAGACAGCAACGCCUCCCCCUGCAAACUCCGACUACGGUCAGAGACGGACCGGCAGGAAAGGUGAACACAAGGCUAACGAAGUUAAUUGUCAACAUUAAUGUGCCUGUCAUGGUAUGAGGCCAGACAUGGCCCGUGCAAAGUCAUGCCACCAGUCUGAGGACAUCACUGGGAAUGGCACAUGGGACACGUGGCUUUCAACUCCAGCGAGGUGGGCUUCACCGCGGGCAAUCGUGGCAAAGACCCAAGUCGACUGGACCACAGCGGAAAAUGAUCCUUCCAGAGAAGAAGUUAUUUACUUCUACAACGAAUGGAAGAGUUACAACUUCCAGAUGACAGCUCGCCGCUCAUCCUUCUGGGCAACUUGAACAUCCGACAGAACUUAUGUGACCUACUGCGUUUAUUUUCUCCUUUAGCUCUCAUUUAAGUAUUAAAAUUCGCUGUAUUUUUGCAAGAGAGGCACCAAUCCUAUUUGAGUGACGUUUCGAUUGUGAAAUUGUAUUGGACCAUAUAGGUCAUCUGCAGAGCGUUGGCCCCUGGCGCAGUAAACCAGGGUUUGAUUCUUGGCAUGCACAAGACUCCUCAUGUGACUUAAAAUUAAUCCAGAAUGCAAUAUUUGUUCAGUAUGCAAGGGCAGUGAUUUAUUUAGUCAUGUUUGGUCAUGUUUUGGUUUUUUUACAUGACAAUAUGGUUUGGUACAUGCUGAGUUAAUGAAUAUACAUUCUAAAGUGCAAUGUCCAUAUGUGAAUAAGAGUUGUAUACGUUUAUCAUAGUCAACAUGGUGUGGAAAUAUCCCUUAUGUAGUUGGUCAAUGGGAACUAUAGUAGGCCGUAAUAACAGCUAAGGUAAUUACAGGUGGAUAUUUCUGGGAAUUAACCUUAAAUGAGACUGCAUUUAUGAUAUCUAAGAUAUACAGGACAAGAAAAAUGCACUGGAUGUGUAUAUGUGUUGAAUCAAUUAUACAGACGCAAACUGGAGAACGAGACAAGUGUUGCUGUGAUACUUAUUGUGGUCAUCGUGCCCGAGACCCGUAACAAUUACUCCGCAGGUCUUUUGCAGCGGGGCAACAGCCCGGCGUCGGUGGAUUCCGUUCGCGAGGCCGCAGAUUCAGGUUUGAAUGGCAGCCCCGAGAGUGAUUUGUUUAGUCUCUUUAGUCUUUUUUGACCCGCGAGCCCGGCCGACCGCCGCCCCACCCCGACGUGCGAGAAUAGGCGAAGGCCCGUUCAUCGCUGCUUGCAGCUUUAAUUUUAAUUAUUACUCGCCCACAACGAGUUACACGUUAGAAGAGGUCGCUAACGUAUGUUAUUUGGGGGUUAAAAACACGCUUUGCAUUUUGAAAGCUGUAUAUUCAACUAACUAGAUAUUUUCUAAUGUUUCAUCUGAA